rnacentral:lncRNA from 1 species
CCUGUAAGCGGCCAGAGGUGACCUGUGAAGAUGGUCCGCUACUCUCUUGACCCGGAGAACCCCGCAAAACCAUGCGAAUCAUGAAGAACACGAAGAGGUUCAAACUUUCGUGUUCACUUUAAGAACACCCGGGAAACUGGCCAGGUCAUCAAGGGUAAGCAUAUCCCCAAAGCCACCAAGUAUCUGAAGGAGGUCACUUCAACGAAGCCUUGUGUGCCAUUCCGGCGGUAUAAUGGUGGAGUCGGUACGUGCACCCAGGCCAAACAGUGGGGCUGGGCACAGGGAUGGCGGCCAAAACAGAGAGCUGAAUUUUUGCUGCACAUGCUUACCAAUGCAGAGAGUAAUGCUGGACUAAGGGCUUAGACGUAGAUUCUCUGUCAUUGAACACAGGCGGGUGAGCACGGCACCUAAGAUACGCAGACGGACCUACAGCGCUCACGGCUGCAGACAGACCUACAGCACUCACCGCCGCUUUAACCCAUCCGUGAGCUCUCCCUGCCACACUGAGAUGCUCCUCACUGAGAAGGAACAGACUGUUCCAAAGUCAGAAGAGGAGGUUGCAUGGAAGAAAAA